CACGAACCGUACGAACGUUAUUCGGAAUUACUGGGCUUAAAGGGUUUGUAGGCGGCCAUGUAAGUCAGGUGUGAAAUCCCUCGGCUCAACCGAGGAACGGCGCUUGAUACUGCAUGGCUUGGGGGAGACAGGGGUAAGCGGAACUGAUGGUGGAGCGGUGAAAUGCGUUGAUAUCAUCAGGAACACCGGUGGCGAAAGCGGCUUACUGGGUCUCUUCUGACGCUGAGGAACGAAAGCUAGGGUAGCGAACGGG
rnacentral:rRNA from 1 species